UCCCACACCAAAGGUAAGCUCCACGCUGAAAAAAGUGCCAUUCUUUGGCAUGGCAGGGGGUAGAAGAGGGCCAAGUAGAGCAUCCUACAGCAGAACACCACUCAAUGAAUCUGGAACAUUAGGGGGCUCUAGCUAUUCCUCCAGCUCGCCCAUUACUGGAGUACGAUCAAGAACCAGGAGUGGCUCAGGAACUGGCUUGACAAGCCCUCCCCUUGCAACCCAGACCGUGAUCCCUCUGAAACACUGUAAGAUUCCUGAACUACCUCUUGAGAAAGGCAUUCUGUUUGAGCUCCACCUUCUCUUCUGCCACCUUGUAGCUUUGUUUGUUCAUUACAUCAACAUCUAUAAAACAGUGUGGUGGUAUCCUCCAACUCAUCCACCUUCAUUUACAUCACUGAAUUUCCAUCUGAUUGACUACAAUUUAUUAGUCCUCGCUAUUAUUGUGUUGGCACGUCGUCUUAUAAUUGCAGUUGUAAAAGAGGCCUCUCAUGGUGGUAAAAUCUCAGUACCACAGUCUGUAAUAUUUGUGACAACUCGAUUUGCAGUUCUGACUGGAGCAGGGUGGAGUCUGUGCCGAUCACUGAUUUAUCUUUUCAGAACAUACUCUUUCUUGAAUUUAUUGUUCCUGUGUUAUCCAUUUGGAAUGUACAUACCUUUGUUUCGAUUGAAUAAUGAUCCGAAGAAAUCAAACUUGCCCUCAUCUGUGGCUAAUAUAGGUCCCAAUGAGACAGAAACAGCAGUUGGAAGAAGGAAAGAUUGCUUAACAGUUUUAAAGGAAACAUGGAAGCAUCAUACUAAUCAAAUGUACAGCCUAAACACCAUGCCAACUCAUGCAUGCUGCUUGUCUCCAGACUUGAUCAGAAAUGAAGUUGAACAUUUGAAAUUAGAUUUCAACUGGCGCAUGAAGGAAGUUCUGGUCAAUGCGAUGUUGAGUGCGUAUUACAUAGCCUUUGUUCCUGUUUGGUUUAUAAAGAGUACACAAUAUUACGAUAAGAGGUGGUCGUGUGAACUUUUUAUCUUAGUUUGGGUCAGUACUUGUGUACUACUAACGAGGCACCUAUUACCACCAUGUUAUUGUGACUUGCUACAUAAGGCAGCAGCACAUUUGGGUAGCUGGCAAAAAGUAGAUCCUGCACUCUGUUCUAAUGUACUUCAGCAUCCCUGGUCCGAAGAGUAUAUGUGGCCACAGGGGGUGUUAGUAAAACAUAAUAAGAAUGUGUACAAAGCAAUGGGAAACUACAAUGUCGCAAUCCCUUCAGAUGUUUCACACUUCAGAUUCUAUGUAAGUAUGAAUGUUUCUUCAGAAGUUCCCCAAUGCUUCUCAGAGAGCAUCUUCCACACCCACAACCACUACGAACUAGAAGGACAAGAGCAACAGGAACUUGGGAACACCACUACCUGCAAGUUCCCCUCCAAGCCAUUCACCAUCCUGACUUGGAAAUGUAUGACUGUUCCUUCAAUGUCGCUGGGUCAGAAUUCUGGAACGCCUUCUGUAACAUCAUGUGGUCCACUGGCACCACAUAGACUGCAGCAGUUCAAGAAGGCUCACUGCGAUUUUCUGAAGACCAACUAGGGAUGAUCAAUAAAUGCUGGCCAGCCAGCGAUGUCUCCAUCAUGUGCAAGAAGAAUAAAAAAAAGUCCCUCUGCAGAAUCUCUUUCCUAGUGGAUCUCAUGUAUUUGGUGCAUAUGUGAAACAUGACUACUGGAUCCUUUCUCUCUCGAUCAAAGCACUCUUCAGCCCAGAAGAGAUGUCCUGAACCUUUGCAAAAAGUUGGCAACACAGCCCUCGGGAUUCUCUCUCAUUGCUGCUAAGAACAGUAGCUAUUCCCCAACCCUAUUUUCUCAUAUUGCUGCUAUAUUUUGAUUGUCCCUCAAUUUGCAUGGCUGUACCACAUUGCUGUGGUCAGUUCGUUUAUCCUCCCUGCACUCGUUCACAAGGAGCAAGAACCUCAUACUACUGGACAAGGAUGCUGGCUAAGGCCAAUCCACAGUUUUUCUUCAAUAAACCAUUGAGGAUCUUAAACAUUCUUAUCGUUAUUGAAGGAGUCAUCAUAG